rnacentral:rRNA from 1 species
UAAUCCGACCUAGGCUCAUCUGAUAGCGCAAGGCCCGAAGGUCCCCUGCUUUCUCCCGUAGGACGUAUGCGGUAUUAGCGUUCGUUUCCGAACGUUAUCCCCCACUACCAGGCAGAUUCCUAGGCAUUACUCACCCGUCCGCCGCUCUCAAGAGAAGCAAGCUUCUCUCUACCGCUCGACUUGCAUGUGUUAGGCCUGCCGCCAGCGUUCAAUCUGAGCCAGGAUCAAACUCU